CCAGUUGGCCGGGCAGCCGCGCUUUACCAAUGCCGAAAGGCGGUGAGGUGAGGAAAGUCCGGGCUCCACGGAAACACGGUGCCGGAUAACAUCCGGCGGGGGCGACCCCAGGGAAAGUGCCACAGAAAGGAAACCGCCCCGCCUUUUCAACCGCUUGGAAUGCAAGCGGCUGAGACGGCGGGGUAAGGGUGAAAGGGUGGGGUAAGAGCCCACCGCGCCUCUGGUAACAGGGGCGGCACGGUAAACCCCACCGGGAGCAAGACCGAAUAGGGAUGACGCGGGCCUACGCGAAAGCGUGGCCACAACCGGUUUCCGGGCCAGUCAUCCGGGUGGGUUGCGCGAGGCGAUGUGCAAGCAUCGUCCCAGAUGAAUGGCUGCCACGUUCCGGUGUUCGCAUCGGGGCCAUACAGAACCCGGCUUACAGGCCAACUGGCAUC
rfam:Rhizobium sp. YS-1r CONTIG.6, whole genome shotgun sequence.